ACGAACGCUGGCGGCGUGCCUAAUACAUGCAAGUCGAACGAACUCUGGUAUUGAUUGGUGCUUGCAUCAUGAUUUACAUUUGAGUGAGUGGCGAACUGGUGAGUAACACGUGGGAAACCUGCCCAGAAGCGGGGGAUAACACCUGGAAACAGAUGCUAAUACCGCAUAACAACUUGGACCGCAUGGUCCGAGUUUGAAAGAUGGCUUCGGCUAUCACUUCUGGAUGGUCCCGCGGCGUAUUAGCUAGAUGGUGAGGUAACGGCUCACCAUGGCAAUGAUACGUAGCCGACCUGAGAGGGUAAUCGGCCACAUUGGA
rnacentral:rRNA from 1 species